rnacentral:rRNA from 1 species
GACGAACGCUGGCGGCGUGCCUAAUACAUGCAAGUCGAGCGGACGGAUGGGAGCUUGCUCCCAGACCGUCAGCGGCGGACGGGUGAGUAACACGUGGGCAACCUGCCUGUAAGACUGGGAUAACUCCGGGAAACCGGGGCUAAUACCGGAUAACUCUUUCCCUCACGUGAGGGAAAGCUGAAAGAUGGCAUCUCGCUAUCACUUACAGAUGGGCCCGCGGCGCAUUAGCUAGUUGGUGAGGUAACGGCUCACCAAGGCGACGAUGCGUAGCCGACCUGAGAGGGUGAUCGGCCACACUGGGACUGAGACACGGCCCAGACUCCUACGGGAGGCAGCAGUAGGGAAUCUUCCGCAAUGGACGAAAGUCUGACGGAGCAACGCCGCGUGAGUGAUGAAGGUUUUCGGAUCGUAAAACUCUGUUGUCAGGGAAGAACAAGUACCGGAGUAACUGCCGGUACCUUGACGGUACCUGACCAGAAAGCCACGGCUAACUACGUG